GUGGGGAAUAUUGCACAAUGGGGGGAACCCUGAUGCAGCGACGCCGAGUGAGGGAAGAAGGUUUUCGGAUUGUAAACCUCUGUCCUUGGUGAAGAAGAUGACGGUAGCCAAGGAGGAAGCUACGGCUAACUACGUGCCAGCAGCCGCGGUAAUACGUAGGUAGCGAGCGUUGUCCGGAAUUACUGGGUGUAAAGGGAGCGUAGGCGGGAUUGCAAGUUGAAUGUCAAAUCUAUGGGCUCAACCCGUAGUCGCGUUCAAAACUGUAAUUCUUGAGUGAAGUAGAGGCAGGCGGAAUUCCUAGUGUAGCGGUGAAAUGCGUAAAUAUUAGGAGGAACACCAGUGGCGAAGGCGGCCUGCUGGGCUUUAACUGACGCUGAGGCUCGAAAGCGUGGGUAGCAAACAGGA
rnacentral:rRNA from 1 species